GGGUCCAUAGCUCAGGGGCAGAGCAGCCGGCUCAUAACCGGUCGGUCCCAGGUUCGAAUCCUGGUGGACCCA
rnacentral:tRNA from 1 species